UACAUCCGGAACGUGCCCGAUCGUGGGGGAUAACUACUCGAAAGAGUGGCUAAUACCGCAUACGAUCUACGGAUGAAAGCGGGGGAUCGCAAGACCUCGCGCGGACGGAGCGGCCGAUGGCAGAUUAGGUAGUUGGUGGGAUAAAAGCUUACCAAGCCGACGAUCUGUAGCUGGUCUGAGAGGACGACCA
rnacentral:rRNA from 1 species